UACUAAAAAGUUCUCUGCUUAUGCCAAGAACAUUCUCCGACUCCCACGUUCCACUAAACUAGGGCUGUUCAAUGCACUGCGAUUAUUCACUUUUCAGGGAUCCCUAGGGAAUUGGACUCUGAACUUUGGAGUUUCAGAUCUUAUCAGUAAACUGAACAUGCAAGCCCAAUUCUGUACUAUUGGAGGGAUUUCUUGGUAGUUCUAUGUUGAAUUUUGGAGUUCCGAUCUGCUUACUUUUAAACUGGAGAGGGAUCUUUUGGGAGUUAGACGUUGAACCUUGGGAGUUUCAGAUCUGCUUUUCCGUAAACUGAACAGGCAAG